rnacentral:rRNA from 1 species
GAUAAACGCUGGCGGCGCACAUAAGACAUGCAAGUUGAACGGACUUAAUCGAACUAUUUAUAUUUUGAAGCGGUUAGUGGCGGACUGGUGAGUAACGCGUAAGGAACCUGCCUAUUAGAGGGGAAUAACAGUGAGAAAUCAUUGCUAAUACCGCAUAUGCCAUAGAUAUCACAUGAUAACAGUGGGAAAGGAGCAAUCCGCUAAUAGAUGGCCUUGCGUCUGAUUAGAUAGUUGGUGGGGUAACGGCCUACCAAGUCGACGAUCAGUAGCCGGACUGAGAGGGUGAACGGCCACAUUGGGACUGAGAUACGGCCCAGACUCCUACGGGAGGCAGCAGUCGGGAAUAUUGCGCAAUGGAGGAAACUCUGACGCAGUGACGCCGCGUAUAGGAAGAAGGUUUUCGGAUUGUAAACUAUUGUCGUUAGGGAAGAGAAAGGACAGUACCUAAGGAGGAAGCUCCGGCUAACUACGUG